CCUCGUCGGCCUCCUCCUCUCCCCGGCGCCGGCGACGGCGGCCGCGGGGGACGAGGAGCCCCUGAUCCGGCAGGUCGUGGGCGGCGCCGACCCCCUCGACAACGACCUGGAGCUCGACUCGCAGUUCGUCGGCUUCGUGCAGCGGUUCGGGAAGACGUACCGGGACGCGGAGGAGCACGCGCACCGGCUCUCCGUGUUCAAGGCCAACCUCCGCCGCGCGCGCCGGCACCAGCUGCUCGACCCGUCCGCCGAGCACGGGGUCACCAAGUUCUCCGACCUCACCCCGGCCGAGUUCCGCCGGACCUACCUGGGGCUCAAGACGACCCGGCGAUCCUUCCUGCGGGAGAUGGCCGGGUCGGCGCACGACGCGCCCGUCCUCCCCACCGACGGCCUCCCCGAGGACUUCGACUGGAGGGACCACGGCGCCGUCGGCCCCGUCAAGAACCAGGUUUCCCCCGAUUCUUUGGCCGUUUUAUUUAUCUUCCGAUNNNNNNNNNNNNNNNNNNNNNNNNNNNNNCUUCCGAUCUGGCCUCCGCCCCCUGACCUUUGAUUUUGCAGGGCUCGUGCGGGUCGUGCUGGUCGUUCAGCGCCUCCGGGGCGUUGGAGGGGGCCAACUACCUGGCCUCAGGCAAGAUGGAGGUGCUCUCCGAGCAGCAGCUGGUCGACUGCGACCACGAGGUGAGGCUCUUUUCUAUUCUUUUCUGUGAUUGGUUGAUUGUUUGCGGAAUAGGUUGGAUUUUUGUGGCACAUCACUAUGUUUUGUCUCUUGGUGUAGACCUUUUCUGUGUUGUCGGUUUAUGAUUGGGCAACACACCAAAUAAGGGGAGUCUAGGUGAAUUCUGAGAGGGGAAUUGGGAUCAGUAUCCCUGGCAAACUUUACAAGGGAAAUUUGUUGAGAUGAUAAGGUUGGCGGCAACAUCCUGUGAGAUAUCACUAAUUAACAGUCAACAAAAGCGUUCGACUUCUUUAUGAAUGAAAAUAACCAAAAUAACCAACAUAGCAAUCACCUCAAACUUACCAUGGAGAACCUUUUGAUGGUGGUGGGUGGGUUAGCUUAAAGCUUUCCUUUUAUUGAGAUGAUAGCUUCAAGCCUAGAAUAAAGAUGAAGAUAAAAAUGUUUGGUGGGUGGUUGCAUGUCAUAAAUUAGGAUAAUGGGUAGGUUGAGACAGACCUAUCAUCAGUCAGUGACCCAGUAUUCAGUAUUCACCAAGGCGCCUUGCACUUAUUCACUGAUUCGGUGGGCGAGCUGUGAAGGUGUACCACUUUGAUCUCUAUGGAUUAUCCAGAUUACUGUCUAUCCAGAAUAGGCAUAGCCGCUGAAUUUUUGUGUGUAAUUAACUAAGUUGUUUGGUGAUUUCUAUAUUGUCAAACUCUGUAACUGAAUGGGAAAGAAGCAGACUUUAUCUGGGUACGUCUUAUAUUGCUGUCACCAAACCAAUAAGGGAAAUGACAGAUGUGAAUUGCAUAGGAUGUGUCCUUUGAUAGUGCCCAAUGUUUGGUCCAUGACUCCAAAUCGUAAAAUAGGAGUAUAUAUUUUUACAUGGGAUUUAGUAUGUGUAAUACAUGGUAUAAGAUUCCGUGACUUGUACUGGUACCUGUAAGGGGACAACGCUAGCUCCAUUUUACUCUUAUGCAUUGCGAGGCAUAUCUUUUGUUGAAGGUCCUUUUACACAUGCCAGUCUUGCUGUUUACUUAGUUUUAUUUGAAUGGCACUACAUGUUUCUUUGUAUUUAUCUCAGUUUACCAAUCUUCUCCAGUCAAGAACCACUGGCAUUACGUGCAACUGUUGUGUAGAAAAAUAGUUAGUUCGAUGCCUUGCUGUUUUUGCUUUUUCAUUGAACAAUUCUUUCUGCAAUGCGAAUGCAAGGAACAUUCCGUAGGUAGUAAAACAAUUAUAUUACUUUUUAUUGCCUGGUUACCUUGAUGGGUGCCUCAACUUAAUAAGCUGCAAUUAUAUUGUGAAAUUUUCCAGUGCGACCCAUCAGAGCCUGAUUCAUGUGAUGCUGGAUGCAACGGUGGGUUGAUGACUUCAGCCUUCAGCUAUCUGUUGAAAUCUGGUGGCCUUGAGAGAGAAAAGGAUUACCCUUACACCGGGAAGGACGGUACCUGCAAAUUUGACAAGUCCAAGAUUGCUGCUUCAGUUCAGAACUACAGCGUUGUCGCUGUUGAUGAAGAACAGAUUGCUGCCAACCUUGUGAAAUAUGGACCUUUGGCAAGUAAGUAUAAGUGUCUCACGCAGAGUUUAUAAGUCAGAUCCGUGGUUCUAAGCACAUGGAACAAUCAAUCCAUACAUUAGAAAUCUGUAACACAUAUUUUUCCUCCUGCGCAGUCGGUAUCAAUGCCGCAUACAUGCAGACAUACAUCGGAGGAGUGUCAUGCCCAUACAUCUGCGGCAGGCACCUUGACCACGGUGUCCUUCUCGUCGGUUACGGGGCGUCCGGCUUUGCGCCUUCCCGCUUCAAGGAGAAGCCAUACUGGAUCAUCAAGAACUCGUGGGGCGAGAACUGGGGGGACAAGGGGUACUACAAGAUCUGCAGGGGCUCCAACGUGCGCAACAAGUGCGGCGUCGACUCCAUGGUCUCCACGGUGUCCGCCACACACUCCUCGAAGGAGGAGUAGGCUCUUGUCUGAUCUGUUCUGAUCUGAUCGGCGGCCCUCCUGG
rnacentral:lncRNA from 1 species